GACGAACGCUGGCGGCGUGCCUAAUACAUGCAAGUCGAACAGUGGCGAACGGGUGAGUAACACGUGAGUAACCUGCCCUCCACUUUGGGAUAACUCCGAGAAAUCGGGGCUAAUACUGGAUAGUGGGGGAUGGGCUCGCGGCCAAUCAGUUUGUUGGUGGGGUAGUGGUCACCAAGGCGUGACGGGUAGCCGGCCUGAGAGGGCGACCGGCAACACUGGGACUGCGACACGGCCCAGAAUCCUACGGGAGGCAGCAGUGGGGAAGAUUGCACAAUGGGCGAAAGCCUGAUGCAGCGACGCCGCGUGGGGGAUGACGGCCUUCGGGUUGUAAACCUCUUUCAGCAAGGAAGCGGUACUUGCAGAAGAAGCGCCGGCUAACUACGUGCCAGCCGCCGCGGUAAUUC
rnacentral:rRNA from 1 species